rnacentral:rRNA from 1 species
GGGUAGAGUAAUGCGUGACCAACCUGCCCCAUGCUCCAGAAUAGCUCUUGGAAACGGGUGGUAAUGCUGGAUGCUCCAACUUGACGCAUGUCUUGUUGGGAAAGUGUUUAGUGGCAUGGGAUGGGGUCGCGUCCUAUCAGCUUGUAGGCGGGGUAAUGGCCCACCUAGGCUUCGACGGGUAGCCGGCCUGAGAGGGCGGACGGCCACAUUGGGACUGAGAUACGGCCCAGACUCCUACGGGAGGCAGCAGCG